AAAUUUUCAACGUAAAUGACGACUCAGUUAUUAUUUUCGACUUACGACAGAUAAUAAAGAAUUUUGUGCUAGUCCUUCUGUUUAUCUUUACUGUUUCUUCGUGCCUAUAAGUAUCAGGACAUUACCGAUGAAUCUUCUCUUGAGCUUGGUAUGGAACCAUGCAUUGUAUUAUGUGGUGGCUCUAACAAUACUAUAAAAAUAUACCUAGAACAAGAACCUGUUACGGAAAAAUGUGACUCAUUUGGAGGAGCAUUGCAUUGCUUAAUUGCUCUUUAUUUUGUCUUGAAU